GACAGCAGUCGCCGCGGUAAUACGGAGGGUGCAAGCGUUAAUCGGAAUUACUGGGCGUAAAGCGCACGCAGGCGGUCUGACAAGUCAGAUGUGAAAUCCCCGGGCUUAACCUGGGAACUGCAUUUGAAACUGUCAGGCUGGAGUCUUGUAGAGGGGGGUAGAAUUCCAGGUGUAGCGGUGAAAUGCGUAGAGAUCUGGAGGAAUACCGGUGGCGAAGGCGGCCCCCUGGACAAAGACUGACGCUCAGGUGCGAAAGCGUGGGGAGCAAACAGGAUUAGAGACCCCGGUAGUCCCUGUCUCUUAUAA
rnacentral:rRNA from 1 species